UACGUAGGGCGCAAGCGUUGCCCGGAAUUAUUGGGCGUAAAGAGCUCGUAGGCGGUUUGUCGCGUCUGCUGUGAAAACCUGAGGCUCAACCUCGGGCUUGCAGUGGGUACGGGCAGACUAGAGUGCGGUAGGGGUGACUGGAAUUCCUGGUGUAGCGGUGGAAUGCGCAGAUAUCAGGAGGAACACCGAUGGCGAAGGCGGGUCACUGGGCCGCAACUGACGCUGAGGAGCGAAAGCAUGGGGAGCGAACAGG
rnacentral:rRNA from 1 species